UUUUCUCCUGCAGGGAUUCGAAUGUCACUUCCCCCUGCGGGUUGUCAUCCAAGUCACCAUAGUGCAGGACCUUGUGGUUCAGGGCCAAGCGGCAGUACCAGAAACGUUCUGGAACACAAGGGGAGCCGAGCGGGUCUUGUUCAACAGCUGGAUGCAGAUCCCAAAGAGCUCUUCGAAUGCCCGGUCAUGGGUAAAGAACAUCGGGUGGUAGUCGUUGCGUCCUUCGUUUGCUGUGGAAGGAAAGGAACAGGGAGAUUGGCACCCAAAAAGGCGGUACAUAUGACUCAGCCUGGAUCUUGGAUCCCACCAAGCCCUCCGUGACUUAAAGGAAAAAUAAAGACAGACAGCAGGUCCUAGGGACAGGCUCAUCAGCUGCACUUCCUUCGUAGAUGAUGACCCAUCGUGGGGACCCAACAAACUGGACACCCUUCAGCAGCAUUCCUCCCAAGGUCUGGCAGUGCUCCUUCAGUCUUUAGCCUGCCAUCGUCCAAAACGAGGCCCGUUUCAACUUACCCGUCACAAACUUCCUUGA